rnacentral:sRNA from 1 species
CAAUAAAGUGUAAUAUACCUUUUCAAUUUGUAUUCUUUAACUAAUUUAAACUAACUAAUAUAUUUGCUAAUUUUAUAUUUAUCAAAACCGACUAUCGUUUCUUAUCUCUAUACAAUUUUUGCAAGAUUUUUUUGGUGGAUUUGGAUAAAAGUGUAUUCGGGUCAUAUGAUACAUUCCCCUAUUAAAUAAAUAUGGUGCACUCCUAUGUUAUUAGCUAAAAUAUUUAGAUUAUAAUUCAGAGUCAUAUCAUUAAUAAAAUUAAUAUUAAUAAAAUAAAUAGCCUUUUGGCAAGACGGGUUUGGAGGGACGGGUUUUUGAAUCAACAUUAAUAAAAAAGUAAAAUAUAAUUAAUCCACCGUUUCAAUACGGGUUAAAUCUUUAAUUUAUUAUUUUUUAAGACCACUAAUAUUAAACAUAUCAAAUCAUCCUAAUUUAGAAAAGAUUAUAUAAAACCAAAAAUGUUAUGUGGUAUGUAUAAUGUUACUAUAUAUAAAAUUAAACUAUAAAAUAUAAAUGUAUUAGAGAAUGAUACAAUUUGUAAAACUUUUAUAUAUGAAAAAUAAUUAUUAAAUUUUAAAAAUUACUACUUUAAAAAAAAUCACGGGACGGGUAAAGAAAUUACAGAACGUGUUUUAUUUUGGAAUUGGUUAUAUGGUGGAUGUAUUUGAAUCAAUAUUUAUAAAAUUUUAAAAUAUUAUUAAUAUGCUGUUUUAAUAGGGGUUAAAAACUUCAGUUUUUUAACAAUUGUCUCAUGAAUUCGUGGUAUAGUGUUACUUAAUAACAAUUAUAAACUGUAAAAUAUAAAUAUUUUAUAAG